rnacentral:rRNA from 1 species
GUCUGGCCUGCUCACUGAUUAUUUUUAAGAGCCGCGGUAUUUUGACCGUGCAAAGGUAGCAUAAUCAUUAGUCUCUUAAUUAGAGGCUGGAAUGAAUGGCUUGACGAGAAAUCAACUGUCUCUUAAUAAAUUUUAGAAUUUAACUUUUGAGUCAAAAGGCUUAAAUUUUUCUUUAGGACGAGAAGACCCUAUAGAGCUUGACAUUUUAUUUAUAUAUAAUUUUAAGAUGGUCUUUUUAUAUUUAAUGAUAAUGUUUUGUUGGGGUGACAUGAAGAAUUAAUAAACUCUUCAUUAUUAAAUCAUUAAUUUAUGUUUAUUUUGAUCCAUAAUUUAUGAUCAUAAGAUUAAGUUACCUUAGGGAUAACAGCGUAAUUGUUUUUGAGAGCUCAUAUCGACAAAGCAGAUUGCGACCUCGAUGUUGGAUUAAGAAAAGUUUUGGGUGCAGUAGCCCAGUAAUUAGGUCUGUUCGACCUUUAAAUUCUU